rnacentral:rRNA from 1 species
UCACUGACGAGUUUGAUCAUGGCUCAGAACGAACGCUGGCGGCAGGCCUAACACAUGCAAGUCGAGCGAGGUAGCAAUACCUAGCGGCGGACGGGUGAGUAACGCGUGGGAACGUACCCUUUGCUACGGAAUAGCCCCGGGAAACUGGGAGUAAUACCGUAUGUGCCCUUCGGGGGAAAGAUUUAUCGGCAAAGGAUCGGCCCGCGUUGGAUUAGGUAGUUGGUGGGGUAAUGGCCUACCAAGCCGACGAUCCAUAGCUGGUUUGAGAGGAUGAUCAGCCACACUGGGACUGAGACACGGCCCAGACUCCUACGGGAGGCAGCAGUGGGGAAUCUUAGACAAUGGGCGCAAGCCUGAUCUAGCCAUGCCGCGUGAGUGAUGAAGGCCUUAGGGUUGUAAAGCUCUUUCAGAUGGGAAGAUAAUGACGGUACCAUCAGAAGAAGCCCCGGCUAACUCCGUG